rnacentral:lncRNA from 1 species
UUAUGCCAAAUGCCACCUUGGAAAAACAUGCUGAAUAUUCUGGAAAUAUUAACUUUGAUCAGUUCCAAUUUUUUGUAGAAUCUAUAAGAAUCUGUCAAGUCGAUGAGUGCCAAAACAUAAAAGAACUGUCUUGGAAGAUCAACAAGGCUCAAAAUGCAGCGAAUAGUAGCUUCUCUGCUCCUCCUUUGGGCUGAUCUGAUUAUCAACUCAUCAAUCAAAUCUUCAAUGUCAUACAUAAUCUCGAUUAAUACAUAUGGGGCCAACACAUUCUCCGACAAAUCAGCAUAUUCUCGCAACUGGGCUUCGAUCCAUUGGAAUUGAUCUUCAAAUCCAAGCAAUGAAUCAGACUCUUGAACAAGAAGAUUCAAAAUUUUUCCUAAAACAGACAAAACGGUUUGUCUUGCCAUGUCUGGGUUAGUUGUUCUGGGAAAGGAAAGGAUGUUGCAGAAGAGAGAAGUGAAGGGACGAGCCGAAGAGGAGUAAAGUAUGGAGUUUUUUUCUUUAUUUCGAAGGAGCGGUCAAGUAAGGUGCUGGGUUAGGGACAGUACUUGUUAGGAGCUUUUUAGUCUGUAAAGAGAAAUUUUAUGAAUUGCUUUUAUUAUACAAAGUUGGGCAUGGUGAUGAAACUUUGUCUUCGUUGAAUUGAAGUCUUCGUUUUCUUCUACACCGGUAAUUUCUAAGUUAUUGGAUAAUUAGCAUCCCAUAUAGCCUUCUUUCACCUUCUUCAUCUUAAAUACGUGAUAGGGAUGGUUGUUUUUAAAAUGUAAAAUGACAGUUGAUUGUAUAAUUAUUUUUAUUUUCAUAUAGUAUGACAUAUAAUGUGUAUACAUUUAUAUUUCAUUUUAGAGUCAGUAUAUUAUUUUUUUCAGUUAAUUUAUUACAUAAAUAAGAAUAUUUAUUAAAUUUUUUAAAUGAAAUAUAAUUUUUAAAUUAUAAAAAAAAUUAAUUAAAAAAUUUAUUAGUAAUUAUUUUAUAAGAUUAAUGAAAACCCAGCAUAAUUUAAAUAUAAAUCACUUACCUGCAAAUAAGAAAAAGCUUCAAAAUUAAUUUGUAAGAUCAGCAAUUUAUUAGAAACCUUUAUCAUCCAUCAAUUACUGAUUAAAAAGCUUACAAUUUGGCUAUUAGAUAGGAAUGAAUUAGUUAUCAACUAAACGAAUGAAGUCAACCAAUCAUAAGCAAAGCAAAGGAAAGCACAUGUUAUCAAUCAGGUGUAGUUUGAUAGGUCUUCUACCUCUUAUAGAAAAUAUAGAGAGUGAAAAAUCUUGAGUUCGAGUUCUUCGAUGAAUCUUUUUCAAAGAAAAGGACUAUCCCAACCAUUUUGGUCAAUACAUUUCGAGCUCAAACUUGAGCUCAGCUCAUUUAUAGCUGAUUGGGAACCUGUAUUAUCAAUAAAAACUUACAAUUUAAUUGUUGGAUAGAAAUUAAUUGGUUAUCAGCUAAAUGAAUCAACUCAAUCAACCAAAAGCAAUAUGUAGGUAAUGAUGGAAGACGUCAUUGGAGUUUUGUCUUCAUUUACAAAAGAAUAAAGACUCCAAAAGCAAAGGAAGGCACAUAUCCACAUACUAGAAAAGAAUAUAUGCGGAGACUCAUUAAAGUCUUUCUAGUAAUUGGAAUCCUGUAUAGUGCUCUCUUAAAGCAUAUAUAUAUAUAUAUUAAGAUGUUAAUAAUGCACGAAGGGAUUGGAAAUGAGGAUGUGAAUUUAGGAGAGAGAAAAAAAAGGUAUGUUACUGAAACACCUUUAAUUUUUAUUUUCGAAACUUUUGAAUUAUUACUAAAUUAAAAAUCUGAAUUUUCGACUGUCUGAACUGUAAAUGUUGUUUAAUUCUAAUUCGAGCCCAAAUUUACGAAGUUGGGCUCAAGUCCAAAAUAUAUUAUUAAAUAUUUACCGGGUUGAGAACCUUUAGAAAUUUUGUUUAACUAGAUAUGGAGCCCUAACUAUUAAUGUAUUUUAAAUAUGUAAAUGUGAGUGUGGUUACUACAUGAAUUAAUUAUCUUAAAAAUCUAAUAUUAUGAUUAUCAAGAUUAAUAUUAAGUAAAUUGAAGAAAUGUUAUAGAACCUAAUUAAAAUAAUAAAAAACUAAAUAUAAGUAAAAAUAAAUCAAACCGAUUCUGUAAACCAGGUGAGAACCCCGUAAACCAAGCAAGGUCGGGCCAAACUGUUGAUUUGGACCAAACCGUUGAUUUGGACCAAAUCGAUUCGAAUCGAACCGGAAUGGCCCAGAGUUCUCUAGAGCCAUCUUUUCUUUCUUUUUCUUUCUUCUCCUUCUUCUUCUUCUUCCUCCAACGCAGCCUCCUCCUUCCCCCUGGCACCGCGUUUCCGGCCACCGCAAGACGAGCACGAGGUGGCGGACGACGCACCGUGUGCCGCUGACUGCGUUUCCAGCCCCCUCUCACGUGAACGGAGCUCCAGCGGCGCGAUCGGACUGCUUCUGCAAACCGCACCUUGCUCUUCCAUUCUCAGGCGAAAUCUCGCCGUUUAGUCGAUCUCAGGCGACGGGAAGGGUGCCAAUCGACUCCUAAUCACCUCUAGAGCAUUUUCCUUCCAUAAAUUUGCGACUUUACCAAAGAUUUGAGAAGCAAUCGUGCGCGGAGGAGGUGCAGCGGCUGUCGGGCCCAAUUCGGCCAAUUAGAGGACUGAUCUCACUAAACUAACACUAAAAAUGGAAUCCUUGGUGAAUUUUGAGACUAAUGGUAUGAUCGUUGCAAAUUUCUGGGCAGUUUUGCUUUUUCCGGCCUCCGUGUACGGCAGCGGUCCGGCGACACUCAGGCGAGGCAUCAAGAGACAGAAUCUUACUCUCCUCGCGUGGAUCCUAGAAUCGUCACUUGAAUUUCGAUCGGUAUGCCCUAAGUUCUAUUUUCCGAUUUGUGUUAUAAAUUUCAAAUUUAAAUUUAUGGUUUAAUUUAGUUAAUUUUGAAUAGAUAUUUAAUCGAAGGGCUUUGAAAUAUUAGGUUGGAAGCUUGUGAAUUUAAUUGGGGGAUUUUUAAGAGAAUUCGAACUUAGGAUUCACUUGUUAGAAAUUGUGAUUAUAUUAGGUUGAGUACGUAAUUAAAAAUCACUAUUCAACCUAACUAAAUACAUUUAAUGUUGAAAAUCUAGAACAUAAGUCAUUUUGGAAUAAUUGUCAUAAAUCGAAACAUGAAGGACGAAUCGGAAUUAAUUAGUUAGAUAAUUAGAUGAUCGAAUCUAAAUAAAUAGUAGUUAUAAAUAGUUAUUGUUAAAAAUGAGUUGUAACAACUUAACAAUUUAAUUACCAUAAAGUUAUUAAUUUGGUCAGCUUAUGAUUUAACAAAUAAUCUUAUAUGAGUAUUAUUGGGUGUUAAUACUGAUGUUUAAGGAGGAUGGGAAUAAAGCUGAUUGAUUGCCCGAUGGAUGGGCUGUGUGUAUUGAUCGAUAAAUAUAUAAUAAUAGUGUGUUAUCUAAAUAGGUGGAUAGUCCAAUUUUUUAGGGGAGGUUCUGCCAAAAUUUCAAUAGAACAUAAUAAAUAAGCUUAUUUAGAUAAAUUCUAUAAUUUGAUACAUAAUAAAUAAAGUGCUCUAAUUAUUUAUUUAUUAUCAUUAUUAUUCGUUUAAGUAUUCCAUUAUUUAUUUAUUCUCAUUAUUAUUGUUUAUUAUUAUUAUUUAUUUUAUUAUUGUUGUUUAUUGUUAAUACUAUUUAUUUAUGUAGUUAUUUGCAUUGCAUUACGAUGUUUAAUUGAUUAAUAUGCUUGCAUUUAAUUGCAAUACUUGAUUAAUUGUGUUGUGAUAUUGCUGUGUUUUGUUUGUGUGGAAUUGGGAUGAAGUGGGUCACCAUGGGUUUGUGAGACAGUGGGUUACCAUGGGUUUGUGAGGACGGUCGAUAAAGCAUGGAUCCUAAUUGUGAUGAAUUAUGAAAUUGGACCGUCGGCCAAGAAAAUGGGAGAUCGGCGCCCUUGUGUGCACCUAAUACCAUGGAUUAUAUAGAAACCACAGGAUGACCUAUCGUUGUUGCGCACCUGAUAGUCUAGAUUUGAUCGCAGCCCGCAGGGUGGCCUCCUGUUGUGAGCGCCUGAUGAUCUAGAUUGGAUGGAGACCACCGGGUUGCCUCCUGUUGGUAUGGAAAAGAAAAGAGAGAAUGUAAAAACAAUGAGAGGACUGAUCGUGUGAGGAUUAGACUGGUCGGCCAGGUGUGGGGGAUUGGCUCCCCGGGUGCACAUGUCUGAGAGGAUGAGCCAGGUAAGAGUACGGCUCGUCGAGGGUUUCGGUGACGCCACUGACUAAUUUCCACAUGAUGUGAUUAUGUGAAGAUGUUAAUAAUUGUGAGUACUGGUGAUAUGCCAUUUGUGUGACUGGCUGCAUGAGCAUAUAACUAGUCGGAUGACUAGAUUGAUAUAUUUAUACAUUUGUGUGAAUGCGUGUGUUGUGCAAUAAGUAUUACUUCUUAGAAGUCUCACAUAUCUUGUUUAAUUUUUAAGGAAGUAAGUUUCUCUUUAAUUCGGUUAAGUUAUGUUCCUUCGCCGCAGGGCUAGAAGAAAAUUUUUCCAGUUCCAUAAUUAUUUUACUAUGUAAUUAUAUGUAUAAAAAGCUAUGUAUACCAAAUAGUUAGUGACUCUGUAGUUGUAGAAUUUGCUUACAAUUAGUCGUGUAUUAACAUAGAUGAUAUAAUUAUGUGAGCCCAUAUUAAAAAUGUGAUGUAUUGUUAAUUGGGCUCGAACUGUGGAAUGUUGUGGCUGAUAAAUUUGGGCCGAGAUUUAAUAAAAUCUUGAGGUUUAAUUUUCUAUAAAUAUGGGCUGAAUGUUUAAAAUUAUAUUGAAAUAGUAAAUUUUUAGUGUUUCACGCUUACUAAGGGUCUCAGGGGCCUUAAGCUUAUCUGGGCCCUAGUGCCGGUCCAGGCCAUGGAUUCGGGUCGUGACAGUUACAUACACUUUAAAAAAAUACAAUAAUUUGUCUAAACCUGAUUUAUGAAUUCAUUCUAUUUCUAUAGAUCAAAUGAACGAAAACUAUAUAUAUAUUUUAAAAUGAGAGCGUUGCUAGCUAUUACUUAGGAAAAAAAGAAAAAAAAUAAAAGUGAAAAUAAUUUUUAAAGAAAUUCGUAUUUGAUCUAUAGGUAAGUCCAUAUACGGAGAAUAAGAAAUUUUUAUCCUUACAAAAUACCAUUUUUGAAGUUUUUCAAAAAGCCAUUAAAAAAUGAAAAUGAAAAUGACUCUCCAAAUAUCAUUUUGACUAGUUAAGUCUUCAUGUAUAUUUUGGCAACUGCACAAAAGUUAAUCCAACGAAUGACUAUUAAAGUAGUAAAGUCUUACGGUACAAAAAGCACCCUCAUUGAAAAUUAUAAAUUUAAUUAGGCAUACAUACAUAUUUAUUUAUUUAUUUGCAAAUUCACACAAAUUAUCCCAAUUCAAUUAUGUCUCCACAUAACAUGUCAAUAAGUAAGAAAAACCAUAUUAUGAUAAGCUUUAACUUCUGUUCUGCAUUAUCAAUCUUCUAUGCAGAUACGGCGAACAUGCGCAAUUUUAUCCAAAUUCUCAUUUUGUUUAUCUUUCAGGGUUGAUGAUAACAUUGGCAGUUUUAUUAGUUUUACUUCUCGGAGGGUGUCAAUGCAUCGCAGUGCAUCAGGAAGCGUCUUCAAAUUUAUGCAGUGUCUAAUCUCCAGGUGUUUCAGACCAGGCAUUGCUCCUUUCUCCAUAUUCCAUUCCUCCAAUAGCUCCAGCUCCCACAGCUUGAGGACUUCAAGCUUUGGAAAUCCUCCAUCUUUGCAAAGCAUUUUCUUUCCUGAAAAUGAUCUGGAAAACAAUCUCACAAUCCUAAGGUUGGGAAGCUUGUCAAGUGACUGCAUUGGAUCAGCGAUCAGUCCAGAAGCAGACAAGGUGAGUUCAGUGAGGCUUUGGGGAAACUUAGAUAUAAGAUCUUGAUUCUUUAGCUUUCCGACCAAAUAUAUAUCAGAAAGCUCCACAUUGCCUGACAAAGACUGCAAAUGUAGAUCCCAUGGCUGACCUGAUUCAUCAAAUGACUUCAACCUCAGAGAUUGAAGGUGUUUUAGAUUCAGAACCCAAUCUGCUAUAUUAAACAGCUGCAAGGACAUGGCUGCUUUUUGAGAUGGGUCUGAUAUUUUGCAUUUCAGUGCCAAUUUUCUGAUGCUUAACAAACUGUCUAGGCCAUUUUUUACUGGACUAUUCUCAUCAAUGAAUACACCCCAAAAUGUUUGAAGGUCCAUUAGAGAGUUGGGUUCUUGUGGAGGGAAAAAUGUGCUGCAGAAACUCUCAUCUAAGAAUAAAUGUCUUAGUCUUGGCAUCUUCAAGAUAGUAGUGGGGAAAGUAUUGAUGCAAGAGCGCUUCAAAUCAAGCGUUUGAAGGUUUAGCAAUUUAUCAAUGAACAUGGGAAGCAUCUCUAGAUAAGUUGAUCUCAAGCCUAGGUAUCUCAAGUGAGUCAGCUGACCGACUGUCUUGGGCAAUUUUGGCUUGUAAACAUUUUCAAGAUCCAGCACCCAUAAGAAACGGAAGCAAUUGCUAGAGAUGCAUCGAUCAAGAAAGUUCCCUAUAUCUUGUCCUGCUCUACUUCCUUCUCGAGUAUCAAAUGAUAUAAAAGUGACAGUAUCUCUAUAGCAAGAGUCAACGGAAGUGGUGUUAUUACCAUGAAUGUGCUCAAAGAUGGGAUCUUUCUGAUCAAGAUGGUCAGCAACCCGACGCAUCGCACAAGUGUUUUCAUUGUGACCUCGGAGAAAAUUAGCUUCCUUGGCUUUUGCAAACCAGUGUACUCGCAGGGCUUCUGGUAGGGAACACGUCUUAACCUUCCCAUUGGGUUUCCUCUCUGUCACUUGAACCAUAUUAUAACUGAUCAACUCUCUCAAACACGCCUCUGCAGCAUCUUCAGGGGAAUUGUCAUCAUUCUUUUGGCGCCCCAAACCCUCAGCAACCCACAAUGCCAUCAAUCUUCUUGCAGGAACCUUAUAACCCACAGGAAAUAAUCCAAAAUAAAAUAGACAUCGCCUCAAAUACAAUGGCAAAUAUUUGUUGAUCUCUUCCAAGACUGUUGACCAAGGUUCUUCAUCUUGAUUUAGUUGGUCAAGUGCCGUUGACCAUUCCUCUAGAGUUGCUAUUCUAUGUGACAGUAAUUCUGCUAAUUUCACAAUCACCUUAGGCAACCCCCCACAUUUUCUUAAAAUAUGUUUUUUCAGAUUUUGCUCUAGCUCUGGAGGGAUCUUUAUCUUCAAAGCAUGUGUGAACAAUGCCCAGCUCUCAUCAUUGCUUCGCAGAUGCAGUCUGUAAGCAGAGUUGGUCUCGGUGACUGGCGGANNNNNNNNNNNNNNNNNNNNNNNNNNNNNNNNNNNNNNNNNNNNNNNNNNNNNNNNNNNNNNNNNNNNNNNNNNNNNNNNNNNNNNNNNNNNNNNNNNNNNNNNNNNNNNNNNNNNNNNNNNNNNNNNNNNNNNNNNNNNNNNNNNNNNNNNNNNNNNNNNNNNNNNNNNNNNNNNNNNNNCUAAAAUCAUAAUAUAAUUUUGAAGUGUUUUUAUAACCAAGUUCCCAAAAUAUAAUUUCCAUGACACCAACCUCAGUUGAUCCAUCUACCCAAAUCCGGUGAGGGAAAUUAUCUAAAAUAAUCUGGCUUUCAUAUAUGAACUUCACAAGCCUUGUCUUGCCAAUGCCUUUAACACCCACAAUUGAAAUGGUAAGGCAGCGGGGAUUAUCUUUCAGCAGUUGUUUUAUAACUGCAUCAACAUCCUCUUCAAGGCUAACUAUAUCAGUAUCAAGUUUCUCUGCAAAAGAAGAAGGUAAUCUUAUAUCACCAUCCCAGUGAUGCCCUGACCUUCGAUGGAUGGCUUCAUACCUUCUUUUAGAAAUAUCAGAGACUUUAUUCUGGAUUCCACCCAUUUGUCCGGAAAGCUUAUGUUGGGAAAUGAAAUUAUGGGGAGACCAAACUAAGCUUUUGGGAUUACCUAUCUCUUUUUUAGUCAAGAAGAGCCCAACAACAUUCUCAGCAGAGCGACAAACAUCGCAAAGUUGUUCGAUCCAUGCCAUUCUCUUUUCACUAAUUGUUUCUUGUGAUUCAAGAUCUUUUAGAAAGACCUUCAAAGACUUGAAUUCAUCUCUUAACAACCUGGCUUGCGUUCUAACUGGAGGCUUAAGCUGUCUCUUAGCAACUAAGGCUUCAAACUUAGAAAUUACAGGCGAAACAAUUGUAGUUCCUAUUUCCAAAUCAUAUGGGCUAAAGGUAUUAUGCCAAUAACCAGAUUGGAAAAACUUGCUGAAUAUUCUGGAAAUAUUAACUUUGAUCAGUUCCAAUUUCUUGUAGAAUCUGUCAAGUCGAUGAGUGCCAAAACAUAAAAGAAUUGUCUUGGCAGAUCAACAAGGCUCAAAAUACAGCGAAUGAUAGCUUCUCUACUCCUCCUUUGGGCUGAUCUGAUUAUCAACUCAUCAAUCAAAUCUUCAAUGUCAUACAUAAUCUCGAUUAAUACAUAUGGGG